GAUGAACGCUGGCGGCGUGCCUAAUACAUGCAAGUCGAGCGAACGGACGAGAAGCUUGCUUCUCUGAUGUUAGCGGCGGACGGGUGAGUAACACGUGGAUAACCUACCUAUAAGACUGGGAUAACUUCGGGAAACCGGAGCUAAUACCGGAUAAUAUUUCGAACCGCAUGGUUCAAAAGUGAAAGACGGUCUUGCUGUCACUUAUAUAUGUAUCCGCGCUGCAUUAGCUAGUUGGUAAGGUAACGGCUUACCAAGGCAACGAUGCAUAGCCGACCUGAGAGGGUGAUCGGCCACACUGGAACUGAGACACGGUCCAGACUCCUACGGGAGGCAGCAGUAGGGAAUCUUCCGCAAAGGGCGAAAGCCUGACGGAGCAACGCCGCGUGAGUGAUGAAGGUCUUCGGAUCGUAAAACUCUGUUAUUAGGGAAGAACAUAUGUGUAAGUAACUGUGCACAUCUUGACGGUACCUAAUCAGAAAGCCACGGCUAACUACGUG
rnacentral:rRNA from 1 species